UUAUUUAAUCGUGUCAGCGAUGUUAAUGGAUGUUAAUGUCAUUUUGUUUCCGAACAAAGAUAAUGUCAUUUGGAAGAAGCUUCUCUGAUAGUGUUACCGGCUUUUUCACAAUAAACUUUACAAAAAUGUCCCAAUGGAGUCUUUCUUGUAAUCUUUACUUUGAAAAUUAUCUAUCAACAAACAGAAAAUUGAAGAUUUAUUACAAUUCGGUAUUCUAAAGGUGAUGUGGAAGAUGGUAAUGGUGUCAUGGUAUGGAUAAAGUAGACUGAAACAUGUUGAAGGAUAGACACUAGAGAUUGAAGGAAUUAAUUCUUUAAUGAUAAUUAAAGAAUGUAAUAAAUGGAGACACUUAAAUUUUUGAAGACAAUGUUAUAGUUCAACAGAAAAUGUAGAACAGAAAUUAUAUUAUACAUAACAGGGUUCGUCUGAUUUGAAUCAGUAUUUAAAACAUGAUUUUAAUCAAUGAUUUAAUCAAGUAAUUUUUUAUAGUAAUAAUUUAAAUCAAAAGAAAAAUGAAAGUAAAUAUAUUUUUUAUUUAAAAACUGGUAAACCACACAAUUAAAUACUAAGACAAACAAAAACAAUAUAUGGGGUGAUUCACAUAAGAACCGACACACAUG